rnacentral:rRNA from 1 species
UGUCAACAGCCGCGGUAAUACGGAGGGUGCAAGCGUUAAUCGGAAUUACUGGGCGUAAAGGGCGCGUAGGCGGUCUUUUAAGUUAGGCGUGAAAGCCCCGGGCUCAACCCGGGAACUGCGCUUAAGACUGGAAGACUAGAAAACGGAAGAGGGUAGUGGAAUUCCCAGUGUAGAGGUGAAAUUCGUAGAUAUUGGGAAGAACACCAGUGGCGAAAGCGGCUACCUGGUCCGAUUUUGACGCUGAGGCGCGAAAGCGUGGGGAGCAACCAGGAUGAGAUA